rnacentral:rRNA from 1 species
AGCCAGACUCCUACGGGAGGCAGCAGUGGGGAAUAUUGCACAAUGGGCGAAAGCCUGAUGCAGCAACGCCGCGUGAAGGAAGACGGUUUUCGGAUUGUAAACUUCUGUUCUUAGUGAAGAAUAAUGACGGUAACUAAGGAGCAAGCCACGGCUAACUACGUGCCAGCAGCCGCGGUAAUACGUAGGGGGCAAGCGUUAUCCGGAUUUAUUGGGUUUAAAGGGUGCGCAGGCGGAAGAUCAAGUCAGCGGUAAAAUUGGGAGGCUCACCCUCUUCGAGCCGUUGAAACUGGUUUUCUUGAGUGAGCGAGAAGUAUGCGGAAUGCGUGGUGUAGCGGUGAAAUGCAUAGAUAUCACGCAGAACUCCGAUUGCGAAGGCAGCAUACCGGCGCGCAACUGACGCUCAUGCACGAAAGCGUGGGUAUCGAACAGGAUUAGAUACCCCCGUAGU